CCUUAGCUCAGUUGGUUAGAGCAACCGGCUCAUAACCGGUAGGUCCCGGGUUCGAAUCCCUGAG
rnacentral:tRNA from 1 species